GCCCUGCAAAUCCGUACAGGCUACCUAGGAUUACCAAAAAAACUAGAAAAAUUGAUUUCAGAUCAGUUCGCUGUGAAGAAUAGAAGCGCGACGCCAUCGCCUCGCGAGGAGGCUUCUGCAGUAAUGAGGAACGAUGCUGCACGGAAUCGUGGAUCUGGAAGUCGCCGAAAUGCUGCAGACCAGGUCAAUGAGGCUCUCGAGCUCUUCCCUGUACAAAGAUGUCAAACAGAUACCACUGAGGUUCGCCACCCAGCCGUGAAAGACGACUACAUUGUCAGUUCAACAAGAUCAUCAAUUAAACAAGUGUACGAUGUGAUAUCAUCAUUCACC